GGCCAGGCCGGCAGGGGCGGCGGGCGGCCCUCCUGCGGGGCGUGCCGGGCACGGGUCCACUGGGCGCCCCGGCGAAGCGCGGCCCGUGGGGUCGGCCGGGGCAGGGGGCGGCGCACGGCCGGCCGCUGGUGUCGCCGAGCCUUCCCGUGCGGUUGUGAGCGGCGGCACGGGGGCCUCUCCGGCGGAGCGGCCGGCCCCGGGGCGCUCUGCGCGGGGAGCGGAGGCCGUCCUCUGGAGAGGGGCGCCGGCGUCGUCGGGCGGCUGGCUGACUGAAGGGGCGCACGCGGGGACCCGAGGGGCUGGGACGGCCGCGACGGCGGCGUGCGGUCUGCCGUAGACCCGAUUCUGCCCCAAUUUGGGGUGGCCGCGACCUCGUCACCUGGCUCCAGGACGUGCGACCUCAGCGUGGGCGGCCCGCUCUGCCCGUGGGGGCGUCUGUGGGGAGCAGGGCGCCGCGGUGAGGACACUGCCGGGCGGGCUCCGGGGGGAGGCGGAGACCGGGCGCCCCAGGACCCGAGGGCCGUCCCGCCGCUGUGACGGUCGGUGGCCGCGCGCGGACGCGCACGUCGUUGUGCUUGCUCUCCGCGACACCGGAGGUGCCGUCCCUUCCCGUGCGAGGAAAUCGGGGCUCAGAGGGUCUGGGCGGCUCGCGGGCGGAAGGGUGCGGCGGAGGCGCUGGGAUUAAAGGCGAGCCUGCGUGGCCCGGCCGCGCCGCUCCCCGUGUGGUCUCAGCCUCGGGCGGCUCGCGUCCGCGCCUGUGUGCACAGGAGGUCCCCCGUGAGAGUACUCACAGCGCCGAGUCCCAGCCCCCGCUCCUUGUGGGCUCGCGUCUUAACAGCUCUCCCGGCGGUUCCAUGUCGGUGCCUCAGGGACGGUCCGCACGCAAGGGCUCUGGGCCGAUUUCCCGCCCUGGCUUGAUUGGGUUCUGCCCGGCACCGCGCCUUUCCCUCUCUGAGCAGACUCCUCUCGUCUUCCAGACAUGCGGCGCCCGAGCCCCGGGAGGAAGCCCUGCGCUGGGCGAAGCCAAGACUACCAUGGCUGCCGGAGUCUUGCCUCAAAAGGAACACCCAUAUUCCACUUUGGUGAAUAACAGUGGGUAUGCUGCAAAUAUGAAAGGAAGUUCUGGACGUCCAACACCAAAGUAUACGAAAGUUGGAGAGCGUUUACGGCAUGUCAUUCCUGGACACAUGGCCUGCUCCAUGGCGUGUGGUGGCAGAGCAUGCAAGUAUGAAAAUCCAGCCCGCUGGAGUGAGCAGGAGCAAGCCGUUAAGGGGGUCUACUCAUCCUGGGUCACUGAUAAAAUCCUGGCCAUGGCUCGCCCGUCCACAGAGCUCCUCGAGAGGUACUGCAUCAUCGAGCAGUUCCGGACACAUGGCAUAAAAACAAUCAUCAACCUGCAGCGCCCUGGCGAGCAUGCCAGCUGUGGGAACCCUCUGGAACAGGAGAGUGGCUUCACGUACCUUCCUGAGGCUUUCAUGGAGGCCGGCAUUUAUUUCUACAAUUUCGGGUGGAAAGAUUAUGGUGUAGCAUCCCUUACCACCAUCUUAGAUAUGGUGAAGGUGAUGACGUUUGCCUUACAAGAAGGAAAAGUAGCUGUCCAUUGUCACGCAGGACUUGGUCGAACAGGUGUUUUAAUAGCAUGUUAUUUAGUUUUUGCAACAAGAAUGACUGCCGACCAAGCAAUUAUAUUUGUUCGGGCAAAGCGACCCAAUUCCAUACAAACUCGAGGACAGCUACUAUGUGUAAGGGAAUUUACUCAGUUUCUGAUUCCUCUUCGCAAUGUAUUCUCUUGCUGUGACCCCAAAGCACAUGCUGUCACCUUAGCACAGUAUCUAAUUCGCCAGCGGCACCUGCUUCAUGGUUAUGAGGCACGACUCCUGAAACACGUGCCAAAAAUUAUCCACAUUGUUUGCAAAUUGCUGCUGGACUUAGCUGAGAACAGGCCAGUGGUGACCGAAGAAGUGGCAGAGGUCCCCAGCCUCUCUGCCGAAAUUGAAAAGACCGUUUCUGCGAUGGUUACAAUGCAGCUGGAUAAAGAGUUACUGAGGCACAACAGUGAUGCCUCAGACUCUCUCACCCCCACUGCAGUGACAGCCGAUUUUGAGAAUCAGGAGGUGAUUCUUUCCAGUGAACAAGAGUUUGACCCUCUUUGGAAGAGGCGGAAAGUCGAGUGCCUUCAGCCCCUGACUCGUCUGAAAAGGCGGCUCAGCUACAGUGACUCGGAUUUAAAGAGGGCUGAGUCACUUCUGGAGCAAGGAGGGACUCCGUGGACAGUACCUGCCCAGGUCUUGCCUUGCCAUAACCCCAGGCAGCAGAAGCCCAUAAGCCAUUGUCACUCCCCGCAGACUCCACAACUAGAUUUAAAUAAGGAAGCACUGGUCCGCAAUACCUUUUCUUUCUGGAAUCAGACUAAAUUUGGAGGCCUGGAAGGACUCAAAGAUGACGGGUCCCCAGUUUUCCAUAGGAAGAAUAUUCCGAAGGAAGUACAGCGGAGCAGAACCUUCUCUGGGGGCGUUUCAGGUUCACACAGCCCUGGGGAGCCAGUUUCCCCCAACUUUGCAAACAUCCCUAAGGAGCUAUGCCACUCUCCCCACCAAGUGCCCCACUGCAGGUGUGACGGUCAGGGUGCUUGCUGCCAAGAUGGUGAGACUCACUGCGGCCCUGUGGGCUGUGGCUCCAGUCCCAAAGUACGGGCCUCGACUGGACCCAAACCCCAGGACAGCAAAGAUCUGUCUGAAGUCGCUCCACACACGGCUUUGCAGUCUGAACUGAGUGUUGAAGCAAGGAGAAUACUGGUGGCCAAAGCCCUGGCAAAUUUAAAUGAGUUUGCAGAAAAGGAGGAAGUGAAAAGGAAGGUAGAAAUGUGGCAGAAAGAACUAAAUUCCCGAGACGGAGCUUGGGAAAGAAUAUGUGGCGAAAGGGAUCCUUUCAUCCUGUGCAGUUUGAUGUGGUCUUGGAUGGAGCAGCUGAAAGAGCCUGUGAUAACCAAAGAGGACGUGGACAUGCUGGCUGACAGGCGUGCAGAUGCUGCAGAAGCGCUAUUUCUGUUAGAGAAGCAGGGUCAGCAGCAGACUAUACUUUGCGUGUUGUGCUGCAUAGUGAGCCUGCAGACGAUUCCUGUGGACGUGGAGGAGGCCAUCCUUGCCCGAGCCAUCAAAGCUUUCACUAAGGUUAAUUUUGAUUCUGAAAGUGGACCUAUAGUUUACAACACCCUGAAGGAAAUAUUUAAGCACACACUGGAAGAAAAAAGAAAAAUGGCUAAAGAUAACCCUAAGCCCGAUGUUUCGUGAAGCUGACUUUCCCUUGUGGUGAAAGGUUUCAGACCUGAAGAUCCAGGCGGCAUUUUUGUGCAUAGGUGAACAGGUUGACGUGUGGCGCUGCUUCGUGUCAUAGCACUUUAUUUCAGAUGCUCUUGGUUUGUACUAAGAAUGCUUGUUCCUGUUUAGAGGAAUUAUUUAUUUUAAAAUAUCCUUGAAUUCCAUUUUUGUGUUAUAAAGUUGGUGCCACUUUUAUUUAUUUAACUGAAUUAAUAUUGUUGUAUUAAUAUUUUAAGUAUGUGGUGUUUACAUCUUUAUUCUUUUUGACAUUUUGGAGAAAGUUGUAAUGCUUCUUUCCAAAACAGUUAUUUUGUUGACGGAACUCUUCCUAGAGUUUUUACCAAACAGAUAACUUUAGUAAUAAACCUUCACUGUAUAUCCAUCCCCCUGACACAUGGCCUAAGGAAGUCACCUAGUGUCUUAAAGUGUUUUAUAUUUGUUAAUAAGAAGGCUGUUGAUAGAACAUUUUUAAAAGGUUUUUAAAAAUUUUUGAAAUUUUUUGGUUUUUCUUUUCUUAUAUAAAUAUGGCAAAAUGUUUCAAAGUGUAUUAUUUUUCAGAGUGAUUUAGUUUUACGUUAAAGCAUUGACUGUGAGGUGGUUGGGAUUUUUCACUUGUAGGAAGUAGACUUGCUCUCUAUCAGGCCUCCAGAUGACCUUGCCAACCCUGCUGUCACAGGAGGCAAGAGGGGUUCUCAACACAUCAAGCCUUAUUCCCACUCCCAUGGGCGGCCACACAGCCAAAUAGCAUCCUCACAGAGAAAGCAGGGUCAGUGGUAGGCGGUGUGGGAAGCUGCCCUGAACUGAAGCAGGACUCCACAGAAAGGUUAGUCUCGCAGGGACAGGCUCUGUGCAGCCCCACUGUCUCCGGCACUGCAGCCACUCUCCAGAGACAGCUGUCCCUGCUGACAGUGUGAUAGUGCGAGCUCUGGCCCACACCUCCCAGAACCGCCGUUCCCUAGAUCCAGUGCCUCAGGGCCCUAUCUUUGGCUGCUUUUUUACUGUAAGAAUUAAGAUUUUUAAGUUGAAUUUGACCCACAUAGAUUGCAUUUACCCUACUAGCUUUAGAUAUGAAGUAACCGCCUAAGCUAGUUCCUUGUAGACCAAACUGUCAGUCAGCAAUUGAAGCCAUACCCAUUAUCUAAAUGAAUAUGUGGGGGUAUCAGAGGCCAAGCCACAGAGAGGAUAGUUUUUCCCAAUAAAGGUGAUAUUAAACCUAUUUCAAACUAAAGAACCUACUACUUAAUUGUAAAGACAGAAUUUCAGGGGAAGCAAGACUAAUUUACAGAAAAUGAAAUUGCUCCAACUCCUGCAUUUCCAAAUCAGGCUUUAGCACAUCAAAUAUAUUCUAGUUAUCAUCAGUCUUACUAACUCUGGUGGCAAACCCUAAAUACCGUUUUCUCCCACACUGUUUGAAUUUUCUUAGGAACUAAAAUCCAGUGAAGUUUGAUGAACUGGAUUGCCCAUUUCUGAAAUUUCUCAUUUUCAAGUGCCUGACCUGGGAAAGAAGAGGAGAAAAUAAUUAUGUUUUAUCCAAAGGACUUGAACACGUGCUGCUGUGUUUGUUGGCUUUUCUUUCUUUUCCUCCAUGGACCUGCCAUAUCUAGUGUAACACCUGUCUCAUGGAAGGGACUCAACAACUGUGAGUAUAAGAAAGGGGAGGGAAUAGAGGACAGGAGACGGGAGCUCUGACGUUGUACUCCCAGGUUAAGAGCCCCCAUGCAGACUUCAGCUCUGGCCGAGAUGGAGGAGCACCCUUCCUGCAGGUCCUCAUUUUACAACUAAACAACCCUGGACAUGACAGCAAAACCACAAGCAUAGAAGACCAACAGGUGGAAAGAAGGUGGUGGGCAGCCAAGGGCCUGGGAGCUGAAGGGACACCACUGUGGGGCUCCCCGAGGUCCCUUAUGCUCCCGCUGCAGACAGGGCGCAGCAGAAGCUCUGACCUGGGACUGUCAACAGGCACAACAAUAAAGUUCCAAGGGACACCUGUCCCCCAGGAAACAGGACCAGGAAAAGGGCAUCCUGACACCAGAAGACCCUUCUGACAGCACCUGCUCCAGCCAGACAUCAACGGGGAACCACCGCCUCUUGCACCGUCCUGUCCUCCCAGUAGAAGCAGGUGGUGACUCUGAUUCCCACCACGUAGUGUUACUGGACAAGUAGGGGCAGAUAUCCAUCCCCACCUGGCAGAAGCAGGAUGGUGAGCUCCAGUUCCCCCACUGUAGUGGGAGGGUGGGUCAGCAAGUUGAGACCCCACUCCCACUGAGCAGCAACAAGACUUAUGGCAAUGGAGGCAGGCUGGUUGCACUCCAGUUACUGCCCUUGCCACCCUGGUGUCAGUGACCCAGAGGGAGCUGAGCUCCCACCCCCACCCCCACCAGGGACCAAGGGGACUAACUGAAGUGCAAAGCAGGCCUGGUCAGCAGUCCAGCCCCUCCCCUAUGCCCACCCCUAUCCCCAUGUCAGUGGGGCCCAAUGGGUAGCUGGGCCUCCACAUCCAUCCAGUAUGGACAAGACUAGGAGGGUGCAAGGGGAAGCUAGUCGUGACUCCACUUCCCUUAAUUUCGGGCAGUCAAGUGUCAAGGAAGUGCAAGGCAGGACGUGGCAGCCUUUGUAGUUGGCAUGCUGCCUCCCCACCCUCCUCUCCCCUGACAUUAGCAGGGCCUAGUGGGCAGCUGAGCUUACACCACCUGGAGGCCACAAUGCUGCAGGAGGUGGGAGAGAACUGGGGUGCUGAACUGCCCCUCCCACCCCCCCCCAUCCCCCAGUCUGCAAGGAGGAGGCAGAGUGAGCAGCACUGAGCAGAUACACCCACCCAGUCCCCAUGGCACACCCCAACAGGGACUCUUCAUUACAAAGUAGCCAAAGGAAGUUCUCCAGACAAAAGCAAAUGAUAGAGGGCGAGGCUUGGAACUUCAGAAAGGAAGAAAGGACACUGCAAUGAGCCUGGAUAAUCGACUGUCCUCAUAAACCUAUUAACUCAUACCUAAUGGUUGAAGCAAAACCUCUGAUAUAGUGUCUAGUGUGGACAGAAGAAAUACUAGGGCAAUUAGAUGUAGAAACAAGGAGCAGAGUAUGUAGGGGCAUGAUCAAAAUAAUGUUUCUCUACUUCAUUCAAAGCAGUGAAACAUCAGUGUCAACAGACAAGGCACAGUUAUCCGCACUGAAGGCAUCAUGCAAGUAACACGCUCAGAAACUCUCAUCCAUCAAGGUGGAAUUUAAAACAGUCCAAGUGACCCACAGGAAAGUUUGACUUGAUGGAAGACGGCUGGAUUCUCAUGUCUGCUUCUGCAUUCGAUCCGUUAUACUAUUACACAUCUUGUAACCUCUGGACAAUCCCACUGCACACUCUGAGAGUGAGAAAUGCAUAUAACAUCUUAGAAUUAUAAUGAAAAGUUUGAAGCUUGCAGACGCCCUGGAAGAGUCGCAGCCCCCAGGUAUCUCUGACAGUGUAUGGCCUCUGUCAGUGCUCAGAACUAACAACCCAAAGCUCUUUUCCAGGAACACCUCCCCCUAAGGAGGCGCUGCAGGAGGAGAAUUCCGUUUGAUGAGGAGGGAGGAAUUAGGGGCAAAGGGAGGAGGAGGUCAGUCAAGAGCAGGGAGGGGAACAGAGGUACGAGGUCAUUCUUUUCGUCACCUUUCAAAGACCUCAGAGAAAGAAGCCCUAGAGCCGUCAAGCUGGGAGGGCACUGGGAGCCCCUCACAUACGUGAGCAACGAUGGAAGCCCAGAGUCAAGUCCUAUGUAAAAUGAUUAAAAGAAUAAAAAAGAUUAAUGGAUUCAGUGCAGAAUCACAUCCCUACAAAUAAUGAAAGUGUGCCAGAAAUAAAUGCUUGCAAAAUAAAGAAAGGGUCCUCUAAGAUCAGGGCAGAAUUGUAGAUGAAAUAUUGGCCAUAAAUAUUGUGAAAGGUGGGUGUUGAGCAUGUGGGGAUUCAUUAUCCUACUGUCUCUAUUUUUGCAUACUUUCAAAAUUUCCUGUGAUAUGAAGUUUAAAAAAGAAAAGCAAUAUGUACAACAUGUUAUUUUUUUAAGACUUACUUAAAACUCUAUAUGUGACCUCCCCUUCCGGCUAAGAUGGAGUAACAAGGACUAUAUUUACCUCCCUCCUGAAACAACCAAACACACACACACCACCACCAGCACCACCACCACCGACAGUAUUUAAGAAACCAGACCUCACACACCAAAAGACAGUGACCCUUGCCACAGCUUACUGCCUCAAGAGUUUCCAGACUGGGGCAAAGGAGAGGGAACUCAGACAGCCCGGCAGUUUCCUGCUUGAGGACGUGGAGCUGAGAGCUGGGAGAGACCAGGCAGCUCCAAGCUGCUGGACAGAGCACCACAGGAGGGAGCUGCACAGCCGGGGGCAGAGAGGUCUGCAGAGGGCCCCUCGAGAGCUCAGCUGCAGACUAAUCGCUUCAUGCCUGAGAAAAUCACCAUACAAACAACUUGGAAAAGAAAAAGCUAUGAUCAUCUUCAGAGACAUAGCAAAAGCAUUUGCCAAAAUCCAACAUCCAUUCCUGAUAAAAACUCUCAGCAAACGAAUCCUAGAACAGAACUUCCUCGACCUGCAGAGGGGCAUCCACAGGAAGCCAAUAACUGACGUCACGUGUAAUGAUGAAAGGCCGUCCCGUAAGAUCAGGAGUGGAUCAGAGAGACCCAGCUUGCCACUCCUAUUCAUCACUGUCCCGGGGGUUCUGGCCAGUGCAGACAGGCCAGAAAAAGAAAGAAAGCCAUCAAGAGCAGGAAGUAAAACCGUUUUUAUUCUCAGAUAUGUUCAUCUAGGUAGAAAAUCUGGCGGAAUCCACAGAAAAAAAGCUACGAGAACUUAAUAAAUGAGUUUAGCAAAAUGGGAGGAUACAGUAUGAGUAGGUAAAAAUCAACUGUAUUUCUCUACACUAGCAAUGAACAACCCGAAACUGAAAUAAACAAUGCCAUUUAGCAGAGCAUCAAAAAGAUGAAAUACUAAGGCAUAAAUCUGACAGAAAAUGUGAAAGACCUGUUUUGUGAGUUUCCUGGAGCCGCCAAAACAAAUGAUCACAAACUUGGUGGCUCACAACAGAAGCUUGUUCUCUCACAGUUCUGGAGGCCAGAAGUCUGAAAUCACGGUAUCGCAGGGCUGCACUCCCUCUAAAGGCUCCAGGGGAGAACAGUUCCUGCCUCUUCCAGCUUCUGGGGGCUCCAGUCCCAGGAUGUUUCUUGGCUUGUGGCCACAUCGCUCCAAUCUCUGCUUCCAUCUUCACGUGGCCUUCUCCUCCUCUCUGUUGGUCCUCUGCGUGUCUCUUAUAAGGACACUAGUAGAAAUUUAUAAGCUGAUUCUAAAAUUCAUAUAGAAAGGCAGAGAACCUAGAACAGCCAAAGCAACUUUGAAAAAGAACAAAGUUGGAGGACAAUGCAAGUGUUGGCGAGGUUGCAAAGAAAUGGAAACUCUCAAAACUGCUAGUGGGGAUGUGAAAUGGUACACACUUUGGAAAACAGUUUGGCAAUACCUUAAAAAGUUAAACAUGGACCUACUAUGUGAUCCAGUCUUUCCACUCCUAGGCAUUUACCCAAGAGAAAAAAAAUGUGUAUGUCCCUACACAGACUUGUAUGUGAGUGUUAACAGAAGUUCCAUUUGGAAUAGCCAAAAACUAGAAACAACCCAAAUGUCCACAAACAGGUAAAUGGAGAAUGAAAUUGUGGUGUAUCUGCACGUGGAACACUAUACAGCAAUAAAAAGGGUGAACUCUUGUUAGAUAGAACAGCAGGAAUGACACUCAGCCUAAUUGUGCCGGGCAGAAGAAGCCAGAUGGAGAAAGAGUACAUACUGUAUGAUUCCAUUUAUAUAAAACUCUAGAAAUGCAAAGUAACCUUUUGUGACAGAAAGCGGGUCUGUGGUUGCCUGGGCGUGAGCGGGGAGGGGACGGAGGAUCAUAAAGGGGCGCAAGGAUACUUUUGGGGAGAUGGCAUGUUCACCAUAUUGAUUGUGGCAUUGGCUUCAGGGGUGUAUACAUGUCAGAACUUAUCAAAUUGUACACCUUAAAUAUUGUAUGUCAGUUUAACCCCAAUAAGCUGUUAAAUAAAAUAAAAAUAUAUUCGCAAA